CAAUCGGCCCUUUUCAGGGCCACCAAUAUCAAACUUGGAAUUUCCU
rfam:Harpegnathos saltator strain R22 G/1 HarSal_1.0_2.contig6378, whole genome shotgun sequence.